UAAUACAUGCAAGUCGAACGAAACUUUCUUACACCGAAUGCUUGCAUUCACCGUAAGAAGUUGAGUGGCGGACGGGUGAGUAACACGUGGGUAACCUGCCUAAAAGAAGGGGAUAACACUUGGAAACAGGUGCUAAUACCGUAUAUCUCUAAGAGAUCGCAUGAUCCUUAGAUGAAAGAUGGUUCUGCUAUCGCUUUUAGAUGGACCCGCGGCGUAUUAACUAGUUGGUGGGGUAACGGCCUACCAAGGUGAUGAUACGUAGCCGAACUGAGAGGUUGAUCGGCCACAUUGGGACUGAGACACGGCCCAACUCCUACGGGAGGCAGCAGUAGGGAAUCUUCCACAAUGGACGCAAGUCUGAUGGAGCAACGCCGCGUGAGUGAAGAAGGUCUUCGGAUCGUAAAACUCUGUUGUUAGAGAAGAACACGAGUGAGAGUAACUGUUCAUUCGAUGACGGUAUCUAACCAGCAAGUCACGGCUAACUACGUGCCAGCAGCCGCGGUAAUACGUAGGUGGCAAGCGUUGUCCGGAUUUAUUGGGCGUAAAGGGAACGCAGGCGGUCUUUUAAGUCUGAUGUG
rnacentral:rRNA from 1 species